rnacentral:rRNA from 1 species
GACGAACGCUGGCGGCGUGCUUAACACAUGCAAGUCGAACGGAAAGGCCCUGCUUUUGUGGGGUGCUCGAGUGGCGAACGGGUGAGUAACACGUGAGUAACCUGCCCUUGACUUUGGUAUAACUUCAGGAAACUGGGGCUAAUACCGUAUCGGAGCUCCUGCUGCAUGGUGGGGGUUGGAAAGUUUCGGCGGUUGGGGAUGGACUCGCGGCUUAUCAGCUUGUUGGUGGGGUAGUGGCUUACCAAGGCUUUGACGGGUAGCCGGCCUGAGAGGGUGACCGGCGACAUUGGGACUGAGAGACGGCCCAGACGACUACGGGAGGCAGAAGGGGGGAAUAUUGCACAAUGGGCGGAAGCCUGAUGAAGCAACGUCGCGUGCGGGAUGACGGCCUUCGGGUUGUAAACCGCUUUCGCCUGUGACGAAGCGGGAGUGACGGUAAUGAGUAAAGAAGCACCGGCUAACUACGUG